rnacentral:rRNA from 1 species
GACGAACGCUGGCGGCGUGCUUAACACAUGCAAGUCGAACGGAAAGGCCCUGCUUUUGUGGGGUGCUCGAGUGGCGAACGGGUGAGUAACACGUGAGUAACCUGCCCUUGACUUUGGGAUAACUUCAGGAAACUGGGGCUAAUACCGGAUAGGAGCUCCUGCUGCAUGGUGGGGGUUGGAAAGUUUCGGCGGUUGGGGAUGGACUCGCGGCUUAUCAGCUUGUUGGUGGGGUAGUGGCUUACCAAGGCUUUGACGGGUAGCCGGCCUGAGAGGGUGACCGGCCACAUUGGGACUGAGAUACGGCCCAGACUCCUACGGGAGGCAGCAGUGGGGAAUAUUGCACAAUGGGCGGAAGCCUGAUGCAGCAACGCCGCGUGCGGGAUGACGGCCUUCGGGUUGUAAACCGCUUUCGCCUGUGACGAAGCGUGAGUGACGGUAAUGGGUAAAGAAGCACCGGCUAACUACGUGCCAGCAGCCGCGGUGAUACGUAGGGUGCGAGCGUUGUCCGGAUUUAUUGGGCGUAAAGGGCUCGUAGGUGGUUGAUCGCGUCGGAAGUGUAAUCUUGGGGCUUAACCCUGAGCGUGCUUUCGAUACGGGUUGACUUGAGGAAGGUAGGGGAGAAUGGAAUUCCUGGGUGGAGCGGUGGAAUGCGCAGAUAUCAGGAGGAACACCAGUGGCGAAGGCGGUUCUCUGGGCCUUUCCUGACGCUGAGGAGCGAAAGCGUGGGGAGCGAACAGGCUUAGAUACCCUGGUAGUCCACGCUGCAAACGGUGGGUACUAGGUGUGGGGUCCAUUCCACGGGUUCCGUGCCGUAGCUAACGCUUUAAGUACCCCGCCUGGGGAGUACGGCCGCAAGGCUAAAACUCAAAGGAAUUGACGGGGCCCCGCACAAGCGGCGGAGCAUGCGGAUUAAUUCGAUGCAACGCGUAGAACCUUACCUGGGUUUGACAUGGAUCGGGAGUGCUCAGAGAUGGGUGUGCCUCUUUUGGGGUCGGUUCACAGGUGGUGCAUGGCUGUCGUCAGCUCGUGUCGUGAGAUGUUGGGUUAAGUCCCGCAACGAGCGCAACCCUUGUUCACUGUUGCCAGCACGUUAUGGUGGGGACUCAGUGGAGACCGCCGGGGUCAACUCGGAGGAAGGUGGGGAUGACGUCAAGUCAUCAUGCCCCUUAUGUCCAGGGCUUCACGCAUGCUACAAUGGCUGGUACAGAGAGUGGCGAGCCUGUGAGGGUGAGCGAAUCUCGGAAAGCCGGUCUCAGUUCGGAUUGGGGUCUGCAACUCGACCUCAUGAAGUCGGAGUCGCUAGUAAUCGCAGAUCAGCAACGCUGCGGUGAAUACGUUCCCGGG